UGAGGAAUAUUGGUCAAUGGGCGCAAGCCUGAACCAGCCAUCCCGCGUGCAGGAAGACGGCCCUAUGGGUUGUAAACUGCUUUUCCAGGGGGAGAAACUUGCGCACGUGUUGCGCAAUUGACGGUACCCUGGGAAUAAGCAUCGGCUAACUCCGUGCCAGCAGCCGCGGUAAUACGGAGGAUGCGAGCGUUAUCCGGAUUCAUUGGGUUUAAAGGGUGCGUAGGCGGACUAUUAAGUCAGUGGUGAAAUCCUGCAGCUUAACUGCAGAACUGCCAUUGAUACUGAUAGCCUUGAGUUUGGUUAAGGUAGGCGGAAUGUGUAAUGUAGCGGUGAAAUGCUUAGAUAUUACACAGAACACCAAUUGCGUAGGCAGCUUACUGAGCCGACACUGACGCUGAGGCACGAAAGCGUGGGGA
rnacentral:rRNA from 1 species